ensembl:lncRNA
GCACUCAAUAUGCCAGCAAAUUUGGAAAACUCAGCAGUGGCCACAGGACUGAAAAAGGUAAUACUCUUCCCUACACAUUCCUUCCAGACUUCCCUGGUGGCUCAGUGGUAAAGAACCCGUCUAACAGUGCAGAAGACUCAGGAGGAGGCAUCACUACUUACCAGGGGCUCCAUCUUCAACAGCUCAGUCACCAGGAGCCUUUCUCAUGAUUUCACUCACAGCCAAUCCAAGCACAAGGCAGGUCAAUCUGAGGAUGAAGAAGAAGCCUUGAGACUCCAGACUUCCAGACCCAUCAGAAUUCAAGCCCCAACCUUCACCUGGACAUGACCCCCAGCCCCUCAAACCGAAAUAAGUGAUGCACCCUAAGAAUCUUC